rnacentral:ncRNA from 1 species
UAAUUGAAGAGUUUGAUCAUGGCUCAGAUUGAACGCUGGCGGCAGGCCUAACACAUGCAAGUCGGGCGGUAACAGGAAAGUGCUUUUGCACUUUUGCUGACGAGCGGCGGACGGGUGAGUAAUGUCUGGGGAUCUGCCCGGUAGAGGGGGAUAACCACUGGAAACGGUGGCUAAUACCGCAUAACCUCUUAGGAGCAAAGUGGGGGACCUUCGGGCCUCACGCUAUCGGAUGAACCCAGAUGGGAUUAGCUAGUAGGUGGGGUAAGGGCUCACCUAGGCGACGAUCCCUAGCUGGUCUGAGAGGAUGACCAGCCACACUGGGACUGAGACACGGCCCAGACUCCUACGGGAGGCAGCAGU